CAGCAGGCCAGGCCUCCCUGUCCAUCACCGACUCCUGGAGUUCACUCAGACUCACGUCCAUCGAGUCAGUGAUACCAUCCAGCCAUCUCAUCCUCUGUCAUCCCCUUCUCCUCCUGCCCCCAAUCCCUCCCAGCAUCAGAGUCUUUUCCAAUGAGUCAACUCUUCGCAUGAGGUGGCCAAAGUACUGGAGUUUCAGCUUUAGCAUCAUUCCUUCCAAAGAACACCCAGGACUGAUCUCCUUUAGAAUGGACUGGUUGCUCACCACCAGUCAAAUGUCACCUUUUCUGUUCCCCUUGGACAAUUUCCCUUUCUGCCCCAGGCAGACUUCUUCCUUCCCAGGCCUGAGGGCACGUGGGACACCCCCUAAUGGCACUGAUCACAUUGCAAUGUUACCCUUGGGUCACAGGUUUCUGGACCUCUGGACUUUAGGUGUUUUUUUAAUUAAUCUUAUAGAGAAAUUUUUGGUUUGUCCAAAGAGACUCCAGACUUUUUAUUUUCUAAAUUGAAUUUUAAGGAGAAGUUUUAGGUUCCUACGAAAAGACUCCAGGCUUUCUUUUAAAACAGAGACUGUGUGAUUCAUCUGCCCCCAGCACCUAGCAUGGCCUCUGGCUCAUAGCCGGGGUUCAAAUGCAUGCUUGUUUGGUAAUAAGUGAGGCAAGACACACUGGGAAUGAUUUAAAAAAAUAACAAAGAGAUGUAUCUUUACACACAUCUUUGCUGUUGAAAAUGAAGUCCGUGAAAGUUUUCUGGGAAUUCAAAAGUAGUUCUUUUUCAUGGGCCCUCCUUGGUUGGUUUUCAAGUUUGCCCUGAAGCAUCUUCUGUCCAAAUAGCCUUUCGCUGGCAGCAGUUCUACCUUCAUCCAGAAGAUGGCGGGCGAGGCCAGCAAGCGAGCUUCGCAAUGCAGCCAGGCGCCAGGCCUAGGCAGGUGACCCUUUUUUAACAAAAGAUGCGGGCACCUGAAGCCUAUUUGCCAACCCCAUAAAUGCGCAUGGGCGACAAGAACUUCGGGAUAGGUUCUGGUGUUGAUCCCCGUGAAAAGGAGCCUUUUUGAAAGGGUGUUUCAGGGGGAGCAUGGCAGCAAGUGGUUAAAGGGCAGGUCCUCUAAAACUCUCCUUUGAAUGGGGAAAACACUGUGGAAAAUGAACUUCCUAUAAAGCAGGCACAGCCCUCAAAGUCUCCGUGACUCAGGACGACGUGCUUUUUUGCCUCUUGAAGCUUACUUGCUUUGGAAAUGGUUCCCGGCUCCCUGGCCACCUCCACAGCUGACCGGAAGCUUCUCUUGGGUCACAAUUCCUCCUCCUCACAGGUCUGCACACUCCCAACAGGAGACACAGGAGACACGAGUUUGAUCCCCUAGAUCUAGAAGAUUCCCUGGAGUAGGAAAUGGCAACUGAUUCCAGUAUUCUUGCCUGGAAAAUUCCAUGGACAGAGGAGUCUUGCAGGCUACAGUCUCCAUGGGGUUGCAAAGAGUCAGACAUCACUGAGCAUGCUGGAUAUAUGCCCAGAAGUGGGAUUACUGGAUCAUAUGUAGACCAUUUACUUUUAAUGUUAUUAAUCAUAUGGUUUGGCUCUCUUGUUAUUUAUCUUUGCUCCAUUUGUUCUGUCUUCCUUUUCCUCCUCGUCUACCAUCUUUUAGAUUUAUUGCUUAUUUUUUAUUCUGUUUUCUUGGUUAGAUUAUAGUUAUAAUUUUUUUAUUUUGUGGUUUUAAGGUUUAUAGUGUAUAUAUAUGCCUAUUACAGUACACCUUCAAGUUAUAUUACACUGCUUUAUGGAUAGGAUAAAAACUUACCGCAUUUCCAUUUCCCUCCUCCUGACCUUUGUACUAUUCUCAUACAUUUUAAUUCUACGUGUGUUGUAAACCUCAUAACACAUUGUUGUUACUUUUGUUUUAAUUUUUAUUUAUGUUUUAGAGACUCUAAAUCUAAGAAAAUAAAAUUUUAAAUGUUUACUUACAUA
ensembl:lncRNA